CAGCCGCCGCGGUAAUACGGAGGGUGCAAGCGUUAAUCGGAAUUACUGGGCGUAAAGCGCACGCAGGCGGUUUGUUAAGUCAGAUGUGAAAUCCCCGAGCUUAACUUGGGAACUGCAUUUGAAACUGGCAAGCUAGAGUCUUGUAGAGGGGGGUAGAAUUCCAGGUGUAGCGGUGAGAUGCGUAGAGAUCUGGAGGAAUACCGGUGGCGAAGGCGGCCCCCUGGACAAAGACUGACGCUCAGGUGCGAAAGCGUGGGGAGCAAACAGGAUUAGAUACCCCGGUAGUCCCUGUCUCUUAUAC
rnacentral:rRNA from 1 species